UCAAAGAGAAUAAGCCUAGUUCAAAAUAAAUAGUAUCAUAGUUGUCUAUAAAUAUGAAAUCACUCCUUAAAAAUAGAGAUUUCAUUUAUUUUUUCCUUUUGGAGAAUACAAGAAAGAGAAAUAGCAAAAAAUUUUAGAGAAAAGUCUUUCAGCAAGAUCAGGAAGACCAUUCAUCCUAACGGCUAUGGUCUCCGACGAGGCAUGUCGUCACGCCGACACCAUCAGGCGGAUGCCGUCAUACCAACACCGUCAUCCGACACUAUUUUCCUACAGCGUUUCUCCGUGACAUUUUUCCGACAACGUCGACCGAAGUUAUCAUUCCAGAGAGCUAUUAUUCUGUGUGUUCACCCUAUGCUCUAUAUCUCAUCAUCCGCCUACCUCAUCGUUUCAGUGUGAUAUCAAUCAUAAUCUCAACUUAAGCACUUGGAGUCAAAUCCAAAAAACAUACGAUGAACUAGUUAUGGCUUGAUUUCUUUUAUAAAAUAUGUAGGCAACCUUAUCAGAAGUUGCAGCUAUAAACACACCGAUUGAUAACUUUUAUGAAAAAAAGCAAAUAGAAAAAGAACGUAGAGAAAUAAAAUAGUAGGAAUGAAAAAAAUGUUUGAUCUUUCUCAAAUUUAUCAAAGAAUAAUUUUGUUUUUUAUUUUUCUAAAAAAAUAAGAAAAAAAAUUAUUUUUUGUGAAUAGUAAUAUUUUAUAGGAAUGAUAGAGAAUUGAAUGUUUUUCUUCGUUCAUUGAUCAACG
rnacentral:lncRNA from 1 species